ACCCAGACCGCCAGCUAAGGUCCCAAAGUCAUGGUUAAGUGGGAAACGAUGUGGGAAGGCCCAGACAGCCAGGAUGUUGGCUUAGAAGCAGCCAUCAUUUAAAGAAAGCGUAAUAGCUCACUGGUCGAGUCGGCCUGCGCGGAAGAUGUAACGGGGCUAAACCAUGCACCGAAGCUGCGGCAGCGACGCUUAUGCGUUGUUGGGUAGGGGAGCGUUCUGUAAGCCUGUGAAGGUGUGCUGUGAGGCAUGCUGGAGGUAUCAGAAGUGCGAAUGCUGACAUAAGUAACGAUAAAGCGGGUGAAAAGCCCGCUCGCCGGAAGACCAAGGGUUCCUGUCCAACGUUAAUCGGGGCAGGGUGAGUCGACCCCUAAGGCGAGGCCGAAAGGCGUAGUCGAUGGGAAACAGGUUAAUAUUCCUGUACUUGGUGUUACUGCGAAGGGGGGACGGAGAAGGCUAUGUUGGCCGGGCGACGGUUGUCCCGGUUUAAGCGUGUAGGCUGGUUUUCCAGGCAAAUCCGGAAAAUCAAGGCUGAGGCGUGAUGACGAGGCACUACGGUGCUGAAGCAACAAAUGCCCUGCUUCCAGGAAAAGCCUCUAAGCAUCAGGUAACAUCAAAUCGUACCCCAAACCGACACAGGUGGUCAGGUAGAGAAUACCAAGGCGCUUGAGAGAACUCGGGUGAAGGAACUAGGCAAAAUGGUGCCGUAACUUCGGGAGAAGGCACGCUGAUAUGUAGGUGAAGUCCCUCGCGGAUGGAGCUGAAAUCAGUCGAAGAUACCAGCUGGCUGCAACUGUUUAUUAAAAACACAGCACUGUGCAAACACGAAAGUGGACGUAUACGGUGUGACGCCUGCCCGGUGCCGGAAGGUUAAUUGAUGGGGUCAGCGCAAGCGAAGCUCUUGAUCGAAGCCCCGGUAAACGGCGGCCGUAACUAUAACGGUCCUAAGGUAGCGAAAUUCCUUGUCGGGUAAGUUCCGACCUGCACGAAUGGCGUAAUGAUGGCCAGGCUGUCUCCACCCGAGACUCAGUGAAAUUGAACUCGCUGUGAAGAUGCAGUGUACCCGCGGCAAGACGGAAAGACCCCGUGAACCUUUACUAUAGCUUGACACUGAACAUUGAGCCUUGAUGUGUAGGAUAGGUGGGAGGCUUAGAAGUGUGGACGCCAGUCUGCAUGGAGCCGACCUUGAAAUACCACCCUUUAAUGUUUGAUGUUCUAACGUUGACCCGUAAUCCGGGUUGCGGACAGUGUCUGGUGGGUAGUUUGACUGGGGCGGUCUCCUCCUAAAGAGUAACGGAGGAGCACGAAGGUUGGCUAAUCCUGGUCGGACAUCAGGAGGUUAGUGCAAUGGCAUAAGCCAGCUUGACUGCGAGCGUGACGGCGCGAGCAGGUGCGAAAGCAGGUCAUAGUGAUCCGGUGGUUCUGAAUGGAAGGGCCAUCGCUCAACGGAUAAAAGGUACUCCGGGGAUAACAGGCUGAUACCGCCCAAGAGUUCAUAUCGACGGCGGUGUUUGGCACCUCGAUGUCGGCUCAUCACAUCCUGGGGCUGAAGUAGGUCCCAAGGGUAUGGCUGUUCGCCAUUUAAAGUGGUACGCGAGCUGGGUUUAGAACGUCGUGAGACAGUUCGGUCCCUAUCUGCCGUGGGCGCUGGAGAACUGAGGGGGGCUGCUCCUAGUACGAGAGGACCGGAGUGGACGCAUCACUGGUGUUCGGGUUGUCAUGCCAAUGGCACUGCCCGGUAGCUAAAUGCGGAAGAGAUAAGUGCUGAAAGCAUCUAAGCACGAAACUUGCC
rnacentral:rRNA from 1 species